AAAAACCCAUCGCUAUUGCUAUUGAUUAAACAUUGAUAUCGCCCUGAAAGCGGCUAAUAUUAUCACGAAUCUCUUUUGUUCUAGAAAAUCUCACGAUUGACAUGAAAACGAUUCUCAACGCACCGGCUCGAAUCAGUUGUUUUUUUUUUUUUUUUCUUUCUUUCUUUGUAAUCCCACAACAAUCUGGAUAAGACUUCUUCGUUUCUUCGUUUCAUUUUUCAGUUCUUAACAUUGGAGUAAAUUUUGAUCGAUUAAAAUCACACCGGAACGCACGCAAAUAUGAUCAACCGUUUAAAUAUAUCUGGAAAAAUGACUACUUAAAACGUGGAAAUUGAAGAACGUUCUUAAAUUCACACGACCACGGAAAAGUUGGUAACAAGGUGAUUAAAAGUAAACGUACAGGUAGC
rnacentral:misc_RNA from 1 species